rnacentral:lncRNA from 1 species
UCAGCAGUCCCGGCCAACCAGGGCCUGCCACGUGGCAAGACCGCGUCACUCCAAAAGGAGCCACGUUGGCGAUCCGCGUGGGUGCGAUCCGACGGCCCAGAUCAAUCACGCGAUCGGACGGCCCAGAUUCAAUCGCACGGACGGCCCAGAUUCAAUCAAAAACGAACGGCCCAGAUUAAAACAAAAUGAACGGCUGUGAUCAAAAGGCAAGGGGCU